UCUGUAAGAGGAUUGUGUUAGCGCCCCAUCCUAUGCGGCCAAAGGGGGAGGGUAAUUCGCGUUUUCUCCUGGAGCCUAUUAGUACCGGUCUGGCAAUGCCAGAGGAGAAGGAGAAAUGGAAUGUAGUGGACUUCCCCGGACGACCAGAUUACAGGUUUUGGGCUUUCCACCUCCAGACUGGAGUUUACCUCCAGUUACUGCCUGGCCUCCUGGCAAGCCACAAAGUCAUUGAAGAGCAUUCCUGAACCGAGGGAGGCAUGGCCCCGACUCUGGGUGUAGCGAGGGGCAGGAAGGAGGGUGCAGCGGCAGCCUUUCCUUCUCAGCCCCAGCUGGAGUUGAGCCCCAUACACACCUGCUUCCCUCUGGGUCCCCAUGGUUCCCUGUUAGGCAUAUGGGCUCACCUGGACUCCUCAUACCUCAAGCCCUGCCCCUUCCAGUGGGAUGACUCCCCUUGGCUACAGGAUGCACAGUUCCCACAACGGGUCUAUUGUGGCCGGCCUUUUCAUUCCAGAUGUCUUUGAUCUGGCCUCUAGGAGGUGGAAGUCUGCUGGAGGGCCCCACCUGGCCUUUGGGAGAAUUUCUCUGCAGAGCCUUCUUUCUGCUCCUCAGGCUGCCCCUCCUGAAGGGUUCCCCACCCACUUCUAGUCCCAGUCCCUGGGCUGCUCCCUUGUCUCCCACAUCCUCACUGGCACCACUUCCUUUCCCACACAAGGUAACUGGUAACUCAACUGAAGAAGAUGACCCUAUCUUCUGCAUCAUAAGGUGAAUAAAAGCCUCAAAUAACUUUUUGGCUGCCAUCUUUAGCUACCUCAAAGGAGAAAACAGAAAAAGGAGUACUGAUGAAGGAAGCAUCUGGUCCCUCUUGCAGAAGGAUGAAUGAUUUUAUUGGCGGCAGCUGGGUGGCAGGGCAAUACAGGCACCCAGUUGUGCCUGAACCCCAACAAGUGAAAUCUUUGUUCAUUUCCUUUUUAUACACCCAUCUGCCGCCUAAAACCUGACACCAUUUAAUGGUGCCCUUGGUCAAAUCUAAAUGCUUUUACUUUCAUAAUCCUCUGAUUCUAUCUUGAAGAGUCAAGAUGAACUCUAACUCAUGGGAUGGACAAAAUGGAAGAUGUAAAUAAGUAAGCUUUUCAGAGCUAAAAAGCCUCUUUUUAUACAAAAUUAAACUUUAAAAGUACAUUGACCUCGAAACAAUAUAAUUGUCUUGGAUAUGCAAGAAAAAUAGCAGUAUAAAUAUUUAGCAUCAUACCCACAAUGAACAUCUGUGGCUACCCAACCUGUUCAUAUGCCUCAUUAAUUAUAGGCCUUACUCUGAAUGUUUCUUGUUCUAUCUUUGUAUUCCCACCAGCCAAGGAGUUCUUUUAUAAAUUAUAACAUUCCCCAUAUGUGCAAUGCUAAUAUAACUUGUGGAGGGAGAGAGAAAGCCUUUCUCUCCUAUUCCUGAAAAAUCACUGACCUAUUCCUUGAGUCUAUGAGUAAUAACUCCCUACUCAGUCCCUAAAACUAAAAAGUUUGAUCAGCUUCAAAGUAGGUUAAAAAAAUGUGUUGAAGUGGUAGCUGACAAGAAUUCACUGUAACCAGAACUGUGUGAUGGAUAAUGCAUAAUAUGAAAUAAACCUUUAUACAAAAAUAGUUCCUUAUAAUGUUACCUAUCAUGAGAGUUUUCAGUAAAAUUGUAAAUUAUGCUGCUGGUAUAUGUUGACCAAUGAAAGACAGUAACGAAACUACAUUACCAAUUACUAAAAGUUUAUACAUACAUAAAAUAAAAGUUUUUAACAUCUUCA